rnacentral:tRNA from 1 species
GUGAUUAUAGCUCAAUAGGUAGAGCACCAGGUUGUGAUCCUGGAUGUCGCGGGUUCGAUUCCCGCUAGUCACCC